UUUCUCAGAGCAAUGCCUCCCAGAAAGCGUAGGAAGUGUACUUCGGUCACUGUGAAAAAUCAUGCAGAAAAAGCUCAUGCUACAUCAGCAACCCCUGCUGCUUGUUCAGAAAGCGACACUGCUUCCCCACUGCCACAGGCAUGCCCUCCUUCCUCCAGCACAGUCGCUGUGUCACUUCAGCAUCCACCUGUAUCACUGGCUGUGCCUCGCCCAGCUGUAAUACCCGACAGCAUGGCUACACCACAAGUAUUUGCUGAAGUCGAGAGCCUUCUCCCUCUUUCUUUCAACAAGAGAAAGAAAAGGAGAAGCCUGCGAUUUAGGUGUGGGCAUCGGCAAGUUGGCAGUAAGGAUGAUUCCUUUUGACAGGAUCGCAGUUUUGGAGGGCUCGAUCACAACCAAAGAUGUUGCCAUUGGAAAGCUUCAUGAAUUUAACAAUUCAACUUGGCUGACCGCAACACCUCCCCGCCUCCUCAGGAGGGAUGAGACAAAACAUGCGCCCUCCGAUACGAGCACUGUCAAAGCCAUAUGUUAUUUAUCGCACUACAAGCCCAGAGCUCCCACCCCCUAGCGAACACAUCGUUUGGAGGAGUCGAUGCAGCUAGAAAUGCUAACGCCCUGAACCUGCAGGCGCCAGGUCAAUUGUGCGCCACCCUCUCAGAACUUCUGGCCAAAGCUGGCAAUGGCAUAGGCAGGAUUCGAGACAAGUCUGUCUCUUGCCUAUAGUGCUGCAACUUAUGUUUUUGUUUUAAUCACUAUUUUUACAUAAUGCAUACCUCUCAACAAGGUUGUUCGUUUCACUGUCUUGGUGGUAAACUCUCCGUCCAAAAUUGGCCCACAUGUCUACAUUUCGAAACCAAUGGUCCUGUAGAUACUGUGAAAUUACUGAACUGCCAGUUUCUCUGUCUGUUUUGACAAUCACUUCCUUUGACAUCUUUUCAAACUCGGCAGCCUAAAAUGAA